GGGGAAUCUUGCACAAUGGGCGAAAGCCUGAUGCAGCGACGCCGCGUGCGGGAUGAAGGCCUUCGGGUUGUAAACCGCUUUCAGCAGGGACGAGGCCGCAAGGUGACGGUACCUGCAGAAGAAGCCCCGGCUAACUACGUGCCAGCAGCCGCGGUAAUACGUAGGGGGCAAGCGUUAUCCGGAUUCAUUGGGCGUAAAGCGCGCGUAGGCGGUCUGUUAGGUCAGGAGUUAAAUCUGGGGGCUCAACCCCUAUCCGCUCCUGAUACCGGCAGGCUUGAGUCUGGUAGGGGAAGAUGGAAUUCCAAGUGUAGCGGUGAAAUGCGCAGAUAUUUGGAAGAACACCGGUGGCGAAGGCGGUCUUCUGGGCCAUGACUGACGCUGAGGCGCGAAAGCUAGGGGAGCGAAC
rnacentral:rRNA from 1 species